rnacentral:tRNA from 1 species
GGAUGAAUACCCAAGAGGCUGAAGGGGUCGGUCUCGAAAACCGAUAGGAGUGCAAGCUCGCGAGGGUUCAAAUCCCUCUUCAUCCGCCA